rnacentral:tRNA from 1 species
CAUGGCGUAGCUUAUCUACACAAAGCAUCUGGCUUACACCCAGAAGACUCCCCAUCAAUGGACACCAUGA